UAAAAGUACACUAGUAGUCUUUCCUGGAGAGAGCAAAGGCCACCAUGUGUCUGAGAACUGAAUUUGAAGUUUCAUUGACUUGGAAUCCACUGUAUUUCUAAAUCAUCAUCCAGCUUGAAGUGGAAGUUAAAGCUGAAAUAUAUUUCUAAAGGAAGGAGCUGGACUUUGGAUGGCUUCAAAGGGGUGCAGACGAGAGUUUUGUUUCUGAAUCUGCGAGGCUGCCUCAUCACCAGAAUAUAAAGAGAGACUUCAGUUCCCAGAAAGAAAGAAAAGUUCCACGCACUCAUCAAGGUCUCCUCUUCCUGGUAAUGUUGGCUGUGUU
rnacentral:lncRNA from 1 species